UUAUAUUUAUUUUUGUACUCUGCGAUUCUAAUAAAUGAAUAACACUUUAUUUUAAAAUAGGCUUUGCGUUAGGUUAUUUUGCCUGACCAUAGGCUAAUAUAAGUGUUUAGGGGAGGCUAGGGUAAGCUAUGAUGUUGAAAGGGCUGUGCAUUAAAUGCAUUUUUGAUUUCGGGUGGGUUUAUUGGGACUCAUUCCUAUCAUAUGGUGAGAAGUGUCUGUAUUUUCCCUAUCAAUUUCUAUGUGCUGUGUGUGUGUGUGUGUGUGUGUGUGUGUGUGUGUGUGUGUCUUAGCCAUUGGAGAUUAAGUUGUAGACAUUGUGAAACUUCAUGCUUAAAUACUUCAACAUGUAUCAUUCUAAAAGAAGGACCUUUGUGUAUUUGACCAUAUACCAGUUAAGAAAGACCGAGGCAGUGGAAAUGGUCUGCUCUUGGUGCAGGCAAUAAUUAGGUACAUUUUCCAUAAAGAAUUUUAAAACCAUAAUAAAACCCAACCAUACACUGGCAAUUCUGAAAAUGUUAGUGAUAAAAUACCUCUCCCUAAAAAAGAUUUUGUUGUUGUUUAGGCUGUAAAAAAUUGCUGCUUACUCUUGAAUGACACGUAAGCUUUGUUGGGGCUCAGAAAGCAAUACCUGAAAGACUGGCACUCUGACAUGCUAAGAAGCCUUAGGAGCUGCCUUAUAAUCAAAGCCUUUCUAAACUUGCCUUGUCCCCCUCUCAAGUGGAGAUUCUCUCUGGAAUUUCCUUAUCUGACUAAGAAAGCUUCUUUCCAAAUGACAUGCAGUUGUCUUAAGACCCCUCCCUAAAAAUCUCAUCAAAUAACCAGGCAAGAUCAACCACCCAGAGAAGAGAAGAGACUAGGAGUCCUCAUUACUCCCAGACAGACUUUUCAUCUAUUCUUCUUAGAGAAGUCCUAGAGAUUGCCUGGGGAACCUUAUCUGGAUAAUAAGACAAUCUUUGUUUCUGUGCAGUUCCACCCUUCACAUUCCCAAACAGUCAUUUACUAACCGUUUUCUGAGCACUGGGCCUAUUAAUUCCCCAAUUUUCCUCUUCACUGUGUCACACAGACUUCCUAUCACACUGUUUAGGAUGGAAUGUCAAAUACACUCUUUUAAUUGGAAAGAAAAUGUAAACAAGCUGUAAAGAAAAGAAAACAGGCUGUACAGAAAACACAUUGUAACUCAUUAAAUUGGUAUAGUUCAUAAGCCAGCCUUAUUUAGAGAAUGUUAUAAUCCCACUAAAUUUCUUUGUGUUCUGCCUAUAUAAGCAAGAUCGUAACUUGAGAGCAUUGACCCCAUUUCUCUGGAGUCUGUGUUUCCUGGAUGGUAACUUCCAGCGUUUUACUCAAAUAAACUCAUUAAAACUGAAUU
rnacentral:lncRNA from 1 species